AACACUAAAUUUGAAGGUAGCCGAAACAAAGUGAAACCUUGCAGCAAGAGCCAACUCACCAGGCCGCUUGUCAGAAUGAUAGUCGGAAGGCUUGUAGACGUCUCCACAUAGCUACACUCGCCGCUCUAGUCGUGGCCAAGAUAAGAAACACAGCCACUAUGCAUGCGCAACUCUUCCUCGUGAAGUAGGUUUUGGCGCACACGGAUACAGAAUGUCAUCCUGCUCACCUCCACAUUCUCUAGAAGCUCCAAUACGAUCUCUGGCAACGCCGAGGAAUCCCCACAACGAUGAAAGAGGGAACACUGAAGAAGUGUUGCUCAAACAUAAAAGGCUUCUCUCUUCAUUCGCUUGCAAAUUUGAAAGUGAAUAUUUUCGCGAUCGCGCUCGAGUAGAAUUUUGCCAACUGUGACGUUUUGGUGAUUUUCUCGAUUUGUUGGCAAAACACGAAGCCACUUUUUAGCUUGGCGCGGCUCAAAUAUAGAAAGGAAGGGGAUAUAAUGGAUACGAGUUAAAGGGGCACUCCGGCUUCAUUUUCGACGCCAAGUUUUCGAUGCCAAGACGAAGGUAGGUGAAAGAGAAGACCCCUCGAACAAGAACGAGUCUCCAGAAGCGAUCGAGUCGAGCAGGAAGACGACUUUUGAAUUUCGCCGAGCGAGCGCUGAUGACGUAAUGAGAGAAUAGCUUGCCAGUGGAAAUGCAUCUGCGCACAUACAUUUCACAUACUUUUUGGCCAAUUUUCAAUCGAAGAGGAGGUUGUUUCUAUGUUCUCUCAACGUCGUGAGCGAUCCCGUCUUCUAUGCCCUUCCAGGUACCCUCAAGGUCCUCCAGAGGAGAAUUUAUCUCCAGCGAAGCGUUGUUGAUCCGCUAAAUUCGUCUUGAGACAUAUUCACCCAGUGCAGUGCUGAUAAAUGUAGAAUGUUGAAUCUGUGAUAAUUGUUGACGAUGGAGAGAGAGGCUGAUAGCCGCUGUCGCAGGGAGAAUGAAGCUGCUGGAAGUAACAACGGGGAGCCCGUUUGUAUCACCUGAACAACCAGACUUCAAAGCAGCUUGACCAAAUCGGAGGGUGCCUCGUUGCUUACUGUGAAUAUUACACCGACAUGAAUUACUACAAGUACACUGGUCUGUCCAAUAUGCAUUGACCGUAUUGGGUAUGGUAUCUGCUCUGAGAAGGGAAUCGCUGGAGCCACAGUCCAAUUAUACAGGCUUUCAAGAAACAGAGAGGAUCCAUCUUUCCAAGCUGAUACCUGAUGUGUACCGACAGAAUUCUCACGAGAUACCUUACGGACUACGUGUGGUGUGUACUUCAUAGUACUCCUUCGACUACUAUCUAGAAUUAAGUCGACUGAAACAAGUUCAAACAACUUUGGCUUCAAACGAGCCGUCGAUUAGACAAACAAAACAUUCUCUCAUAUACUGGAGCACUCUGACAACUCACGACCUAUUCCUAACGAUUUCCACCGCUUAUAAAUAUGUAGAGUGCUGAUUGGAAUGUGCUCACAAUCUCAACAAUUCAGUGCUAUAAUUAUUUGAACAAUGUGUUAGAAAUUAUUCCACUUUUCCUUCUAUAAGAUUAAUGUUGUAUCCACAUAUAAUCCACAGUGCUCCAAAGUUUCAGAGUUCUCAGGGUAUCAAACAAAAUUAUUUCAAAUACAGUGAAAUUGUUCGUGGACAUUAUAGCGUAACUAAUUUACUUGUAGUUCCCUGGUCCUUUUCUUUGCUAUAAAUUAAUCCUUUGCUCUCUA